UGCUUAAUACUUCUUUCCUUUUCUCUCAUUCCUCAUUUUCUCGCGUUAUCUCCUUCUUCGCCGGUGUUCCUACCGGAAAAAUCAACAAUGGACGUUCGCCGGCGACCUGUCAAGCCUUUUUACUCUUCCAAAGAUGACGUUUCCGCCGGCGAACCUCUCAAACCCCACAAACAAACCCAACAAGUUUCCUCUCCUAAAGCAUCUGAUGCCCUUCCACUCCCAUUGUAUCUAACCAAUGGUUUAUUUUUCACCAUGUUUUUCUCUGUCAUGUAUUUCCUUCUCGUCAGGUGGCGUGAGAAGAUCCGUAAUUCGACGCCUCUCCAUAUGGUCACCUUUUCUGAAUUGGCCGCUAUGGUUUCGUUGAUCGCUUCUGUUAUAUAUCUGUUGGGCUUUUUCGGGAUCGGAUUUGUUCAGUCUUUUGUCUCAAGGUCCAACAGUGAUUCCUGGGAUGUUGAAGAUGAGAAUACUGAGCAGUUUAUUAUUGAGGAAGAUAGCCGACGUGGACCAUGUGCUGCUGCGACGACUCUCGGCUGCACUGCUGUUCCUCCACCACCUGUUCGACAAAUUGUCCCAAUGGUUCCACAGCAACCUGCUAAGGUAGCUUUAUCCGUUGCGGAGAAGCCUGCACCUAUAAUUACACCAGCAGUAUCAGAGAAUGACGAGGAGAUUAUACAAUCUGUGGUUCAGGGGAAAACACCGUCUUAUUCUUUGGAAUCGAAGCUUGGUGAUUGCAAACGGGCAGCUUCUGUUCGUAGAGAGGCGUUGCAGAGGAUUACAGGGAAGUCAUUGGAAGGGCUACCGUUGGAGGGAUUUGAUUAUGAAUCUAUCCUUGGGCAGUGCUGUGAGAUGCCUGUAGGAUACGUACAGAUACCCGUGGGAAUUGCGGGGCCAUUGUUGCUUGAUGGGAGAGAGUAUUCGGUGCCAAUGGCGACGACGGAAGGAUGUUUAGUGGCUAGCACCAACAGGGGUUGUAAGGCCAUCUUUGCUUCUGGUGGCGCCACUAGUGUGUUGCUCAGAGAUGGGAUGACAAGAGCUCCUGUGGUCAGGUUCGCCACUGCGAAAAGGGCUGCGGAUUUGAAGUUCUUCGUUGAGGAUCCCCUGAAUUUUGAGACUCUGUCACUUGUUUUCAACAAGUAAGUGUUCGUCUUCCUCUUCUUUAUUUUAUUUUUCGUCUUAUGCUUAUUAUUUUCCAAGACGUAGGAGUAUAUUAUUAUGCUUAAUUUCCUUCAAAAACACGAUAAAUAACUGGUAGUUUUAAAUUACUGAAAUGUUGGAGCUCUUGUAUAGUUGGUGAGAGUUAGCAUGAAAUAGUUCAAACAGAGCAUUUAAGUUUUGCUUCUCUUUCUAUAUCUUGUGUCAAUAUUUUCUGUUACAAUUUUUCUUAAGCUUUCCCCUUUUAGGAUCUCUUAAUGUUGAUGUCUUUAAUGAGAACAUGAUCUGUUUCUUUCUUUUAAUAUAGUUUUUCCUUUAUUUUCUAAAAUCCUUUUUCGCUUAAUACAUUAUUCAAUUCACCCACCUUAAAAAAAAGGGAAAAGGACAAGAAAGUAUUGGUAAUUUCUAGUAUUCUAACUACUUGCCCAUUUUAUAAAUGCUGAGAUUAUCUGUAAUCUGCAUGUUAUCCAAUAUUGUGAUUUCAAGUUUUAUAAUUUCUGUUUUGAAUGGGAUUUUUUGCAGAUCAAGCAGAUUUGCCAGAUUACAGAGCAUUCAAUGUGCUAUAGCUGGUAAAAAUCUGUAUAUGAGAUUUAGCUGUAGCACUGGUGAUGCAAUGGGAAUGAACAUGGUGUCCAAAGGUGUGCAAAACGUUCUGGAUUACCUUCAGAAUGAAUAUCCCGACAUGGACGUCAUCGGCAUAUCUGGUAUUCCGUCGACCCUUUUAUUUUAUUUAUAAUUCAGUACUACUUUUUCUAUCUAAGCCAAAAAUAAAUAAAUAAUAAUAAUAAUAAUUCUAGGUCUAUCUUCAUGGCAGAUUCCAUAUUAGUACUAUUCAGUGCAUGGAAAAAAGAAUAAUCAAGUACAAUACAAUUUAUUCUGUCUUUAGACUGCAUAUAGAUCCAGUUAUAGUACACGUCUUUUGGUUCUAUAUAUUCAUUUAUUGUUGCUACUACUAUUAUUUUUUCCCCUAGUUGGUGUGGAGAUGUUUAUUUAAUUGAAAUUAUUUGAAACAUGACAGGGAACUUUUGCUCGGACAAGAAGCCAGCAGCAGUUAACUGGAUUGAAGGGAGAGGAAAAUCGGUAGUUUGCGAGGCAAUUAUCAAUGAAGAAGUGGUGAAGAAAGUCUUGAAAACAGAGGUUGCUUCUCUGGUGGAGCUGAACGUGCUUAAGAACCUUACUGGUUCAGCCAUGGCUGGUGCCCUCGGUGGCUUCAAUGCCCAUGCCAGUAACAUCGUCUCCGCUGUAUAUCUAGCCACUGGCCAGGACCCUGCUCAGAAUGUUGAGAGUUCUCACUGCAUCACUAUGAUGGAGGCUGUAAAUGAUGGCAAAGACCUCCAUAUUUCAGUAACUAUGCCUUCUAUUGAGGUAUGUAAUUGACAUGUAUACUCUACUCUUUAUUAUACUACUUGCUGUCUUUCGUCGCACCUUCAUUCAUUAUUCCACCAAACCUACUGCAUGUGAGGACAUAUAUUUUAACAAAAAUCAUUAAAUUACUGAUUUUUAAUGCAAAAAAUAUGGAUAAAAACAAGAAGUCAGUUUAAAAUUAUUAAAGAGACAGUGCUUUUAACGAAGUGCAUGCAGACUACAGCUUUGAUUUCAUCAGAUCUUAAGUUUAACAGUAUAGUAGAAUUCUCCCCAGAAGAAAUAUUGACAAGUAGCUGAACAAUUAAAUACUGAGAAUAUACUAGUGUAGUGUCUGUAGAAGGCUAGGUGGCGCCAGGAAUAUUAAUACGGUCUUUAGUCAUUUGGGUCCAUUUGACAGAGGCUUUGUAAGAAAUUCAUGAUCAAGUGGCAUAUGUCGGAGACAAACUUGCACGUGUUUCAUGAAUCGUUAUGCCACAUUUUCACAUUAUGUAUAUUGUAUUAAUAAUGCAUUUCUCAUUAUGAAUUCAGGUUGGUACAGUUGGUGGUGGAACUCAACUUGCAUCACAAUCAGCUUGCUUGAACUUAUUAGGAGUGAAAGGUGCAAACAGGGAGGCAGCAGGGUCAAAUGCAAGGCUCUUGGCCACAAUAGUAGCAGGUUCUGUUCUUGCUGGCGAGUUAUCUCUCAUGUCUGCUAUCUCAGCAGGGCAGCUGGUUAAGAGUCACAUGAAAUACAAUAGAUCUAGCAAAGAUGUUACUAAGGCAUCCUCUUAGUGAGGAAAAAGUCAAAUUUAUUAUCCCCACAUGUGUACAUCACCAUCCUUUAAGAACCAUCAUUAUUAAAGAAAUGGAUUACAAUAAAAGUAGGAAUAAAAUUUUCCAAUUAGGGAGAGCAGUAAGUAAAGGGCAGACCAAAAAGUUGAACAAGUGUUGAUACAGGAAGGCAAUAGUCAUGUGGAGAAAGAUCAGGAAGAAAAAGACAAGGAAAUCAAGGGUGGAUUUGUAUGUAGUGUUGUAUUCUUUCUAUGAAGGCAUGUGAGGAGGUAGGGUCAUAAUUUUUCUAAGUUCGUGUAAAAAAACCUGCAAAUAUUUACUGAAGAUCUAUGAAAGGUGUUAGGUGGGAUGGUGACCAGUUGGGUUAACUUGUAAUUCAAUAUUUGGUUAAUUUCAUUCAUGCGCCAAAGAAGAUGACCUUUUUUUUUUAAUCUUUUCUGUUGUACUGUCUUUCAUUUGUUUGUUAAUUUGUGACUAGUUUGUAAUUUAGGGAGAAUUGGCAUCUCAAACUCUUUAUGUUUGCUCAGAAAGUGUGCUUUUUGUAUAUGAAAAUUCUUUCUUUCUUCUUUAUUAAUCAUCAUUGUUGUUUGUUCAUGCACCCAUUAAUUCAAAUGUUUAUUCCGAGAACAUGGAUAUAUGUGCCUAAACACGUUUAAAGCUGAUGGAUCUCUCCUGUUCAUGUGAAGAUUGGUUGUAUUUAGGUCCACAAAUCACUAUUAAAUUUAUUUAAACUAUUCUAAUCCACAAUUAUGGAUCCAAAUUAGCACAGGGUUUGCCAACUAAGGCAAACGACAAAAAAUCAUUUAUGCUUCACUUGUUUAUAUUCGCAGUCCCUGUAACUUCAAGUUGAAUGUUGAAUUGUCUACACGACGCGGAAUGAGAAUCAUUUUACCCUUAUUACAAUGAACCAAACAAUUUUAUGUUCUCGUAAACUAUUACUCCAUAAUAUGUUAAAGAUUCCAAAGCUUAACAUGAAUCAAAUGUCAAUAUUCUUCUCAAAGAUGAAAUCAAUCUGAAAUUUGAUAAAUACUGUUCAAUGGUUCUUCACCAACUUAGCCUCUACAUGUAAUUGCUAAUGGUAUCGUUUCACCCACUUUGUUCUGACCAACCAUAUCUAAAUAAAGUUGUUCCUAAUCCUCUAUCCUAAGUCUCCGAAGCUACAGAUGAUAAGCAGAAUUAGAAUUUAUGUCAGUAUGGAUGAAAUUAUCAUUGCACACACUGCUCAUUUUUAGACAAUUUAUGUGAACUUAAUAUGAAUACAUGCUCUUCUAAAAUUGAGCCGGGGUUUUAUGGGAAAUAGUUUCUCAAGGUAAGAAUAAAAUCUGCAUACAUAUUCAAACAACACUUGCUAGAUAUACAUAUUGCCAUAUUCAAACAACACUUGCUAGAUAUACAUAUUGCCCUUUUCAAACAACACUUGUUAGAUUACACUAGAUUUGAAGAUUUGAUGCUGUUGUAUUCUUCUUAAAUUGCCCCUAAUUACUAUGUGGAGAGAUAGAGCAGAUGGCACAAACGCCGCCUUAAGUGUCCAUUUUUAGUGGACGAAAUAUAGGAAACGUCAUGUUUCAGGGUUUAAUUGGUAAAUACCAGUCACAAUAGUGACGGAUUCCUAAGAGCUAAGAGAUGAAAAAGUGAAGUGCAUUGACAUGAAUUUAUCAGAGACUCAUUUCCAGAAAGGCAAGCUCCUGUCCAUAGCCAAUACCAAAUCUAUCCCUAAGCCAUUUUAACAAUUCUUUGCUAUACGGCAGCGGUGUUGGGUUAGCUAAGUCCAAAUGUUCAUGUAAAGUAGAAGUCAAUACGAAUUUGGAGUUUUGGACUUUGUCGAAUUUUACAUGGCUAUCAAAGGGCCAAAUGUGCAGCAAAUUUACGUUGGUACGAAUUUGGAGGGGUCCCACGUGCAUAUACCUGUUACACUUUGCUUACAGUCUCAUGUCGGCGCAAGGCAACAAGUGACCAGAUAAUUGUCGGGCUAAAAAUGAAGCACAGACUACGCGUAAUCUAAAGGGAAAAAUUUAUCUUAAAAAUGUUUUAAAAGUAAUACUCCAUUCUUUAUGUCUCAAUUCGCAUGAUAACCCUUUGGACUUCAGAAACACAAUUUCAAAAUUCAUUAAUAAUGAUAUAUUCCUGUAUAAAUAAUAGUAUAGUAGUAACUAAUACUACCACUUUCAAAAAUCAAAAUUCAUGUGCAUGUAAAAAAUUUGAAUUUUUAUAUGAUAUUUUCUUCUACCGCAGUAAUUGUAUUAUUUUAUUCCUCGAUUGCUAAUAGAAUACACAAGUCAAAUGUGUCGACCCAAAGAUGGUCUUUCAAAAUGAAACAAAAGAGUGAUUUAGUAUAUGGGUUUGCACAUCUUAAUCUGAACAAUAUAGCAACUCGAAGGGAUGGUCUAGGCACGACGGAAGCUCGAGCUACAAAAACAAAUCGAAGCAUCCAUCAAUCAAACUUGAUUUGAGCAAACUUUUAACGCAAAUCAGUCAAGGAAUAAUACACGACGACCACUAUAUUGCCAGAAGUAAUGAGCAUAUGUAAAUGCGAUUGAAAUCCAAAACUAUUAUUAUAGAGAGAAUGUGCAGAAUUUUCUGUGUAAAUUUAAGAAAAUAUUUCAAGAACCUAGCACCAACUAGGAUUUUACAUACAUGGCAACUAAAUAAUUAUAUUCUCUAGCAACAAGCUUUAAACAUUUAUUCAAAGCACCCAUAAUCAUCGUAUUUAAAGCAUUUAUUUCCUUAAGAAAAGGUAAUCAAGUUAUACUAUUCAAAAUAGACUUGUACUUGAUUAUUUCUCACAUUGCAUAAUUUGUUCGUUCUUAUUUAUAGUAAAAUAAAAUUAACAAAUCUCAAAUAUAACAUAUAUAAUUAAUAUACAUAUAGAAGGUUAGAAUAUAACCUUAUAGUUGCGAUAAUAUACGCUGAAUAAAUAAGGUAUAAAUUUAUAAUAUAACUAUGUAUAAAUUAUAAUAGAUAAUUAUACUCCAUGUAAACAUGUAUAACUGUAUAAGUCAACCAAAUAAUAUACCAAGUGAAAAUCAUAUUAAUGUCAGAUUUUAUUAUUACUUCUUCAACAAUUGUAUAUAUUGAUUAUGUAUUAAUAUUAAUAACAGUGGAUAAUAAAAAUAUACAUGCAGUACAUAUAUACAUAGUAUUAUAAUAANNNNNNNNNNNNNNNNNNNNNNNNNNNNNNNNNNNNNNNNNNNNNNNNNNNNNNNNNNNNNNNNNNNNNNNNNNNNNNNNNNNNNNNNNNNNNNNNNNNNNNNNNNNNNNNNNNNNNNNNNNNNNNNNNNNNNNNNNNNNNNNNNNNNNNNNNNNNNNNNNNNNNNNNNNNNNNNNNNNNNNNNNNNNNNNNNNNNNNNNNNNNNNNNNNNNNNNNNNNNNNNNNNNNNNNNNNNNNNNNNNNNNNNNNNNNNNNNNNNNNNNNNNNNNNNNNNNNNNNNNNNNNNNNNNNNNNNNNNNNNNNNNNNNNNNNNNNNNNNNNNNNNNNNNNNNNNNNNNNNNNNNNNNNNNNNNNNNNNNNNNNNNNNNNNNNNNNNNNNNNNNNNNNNNNNNNNNNNNNNNNNNNNNNNNNNNNNNNNNNNNNNNNNNNNNNNNNNNNNNNNNNNNNNNNNNNNNNNNNNNNNNNNNNNNNNNNNNNNNNNNNNNNNNNNNNNNNNNNNNNNNNNNNNNNNNNNNNNNNNNNNNNNNNNNNNNNNNNNNNNNNNNNNNNNNNNNNNNNNNNNNNNNNNNNNNNNNNNNNNNNNNNNNNNNNNNNNNNNNNNNNNNNNNNNNNNNNNNNNNNNNNNNNNNNNNNNNNNNNNNNNNNNNNNNNNNNNNNNNNNNNNNNNNNNNNNNNNNNNNNNNNNNNNNNNNNNNNNNNNNNNNNNNNNNNNNNNNNNNNNNNNNNNNNNNNNNNNNNNNNNNNNNNNNNNNNNNNNNNNNNNNNNNNNNNNNNNNNNNNNNNNNNNNNNNNNNNNNNNNNNNNNNNNNNNNNNNNNNNNNNNNNNNNNNNNNNNNNNNNNNNNNNNNNNNNNNNNNNNNNNNNNNNNNNNNNNNNNNNNNNNNNNNNNNNNNNNNNNNNNNNNNNNNNNNNNNNNNNNNNNNNNNNNNNNNNNNNNNNNNNNNNNNNNNNNNNNNNNNNNNNNNNNNNNNNNNNNNNNNNNNNNNNNNNNNNNNNNNNNNNNNNNNNNNNNNNNNNNNNNNNNNNNNNNNNNNNNNNNNNNNNNNNNNNNNNNNNNNNNNNNNNNNNNNNNNNNNNNNNNNNNNNNNNNNNNNNNNNNNNNNNNNNNNNNNNNNNNNNNNNNNNNNNNNNNNNNNNNNNNNNNNNNNNNNNNNNNNNNNNNNNNNNNNNNNNNNNNNNNNNNNNNNNNNNNNNNNNNNNNNNNNNNNNNNNNNNNNNNNNNNNNNNNNNNNNNNNNNNNNNNNNNNNNNNNNNNNNNNNNNNNNNNNNNNNNNNNNNNNNNNNNNNNNNNNNUCUUCUUCGAGUUUCAAUCUGAAAUUCAGCCAAAACCAAGUCUAAAUCUUCACCAAAACCCCUUAAAAUUGCGAUAUAAACUCCAAAACAUAUUCCCAAUUAUUUACAACAACACCCAAUCAAAACAAAUAAUGAUUUUUGAAAACCCAAAUUUGAAUUCAAAGCUUUUUAAUGGUUGUCAAUGGUGAAAUUGUUACUCUCUUGUCUCUUUGAAGGUUUGUUCUUCUUCAUUGAGAAAAUUUGAAGCUGGAGGUAAAUGUGUGUAUGAACUUUGAAGAUUUGACUUCAAUUUUGACUGGUUUUAGAAGAAAAAAAGCUUGAAAUUGGACGUUAAUGGAAGGGUAUUACAUAUGUUUCUCUGGUUUUAGCAGAGGGAAUAAUGGGUUUGAAACGUGAGUGUGGGGAGAUACGUGGGUGUGAGUUUGGGAGAGAGAAACGUGGGGGGGGGGGAGGGGGGAGGGGAUUUGGAGGAAUAUACGGUAGCGCUAAUUAAGGAGUGAUAUACGGUACAUUAAUUGUAUAGUUAAAACACAUUAUGAUAUAUAAUUGGUAAUUAGGUAUACUAAAUGUAAUUAAAUCAAACCUUAAACAUUGAGGGUAAUAUAGUUUCCAAUAUGGAAUAGGAAUGUAAAAAUUCCUUUUUAUAAAGAGAUCAUCCAUGUAAAAAUUCCAUGGACUGGACGGCCCUAUAUAUACAACACUAGAUCUGUCAUGGCACGGGCCCAACAUGAUAAAGAAGUUUUUUAAAAGUUUAGUUGUCUAAUUUAAUAAUAAAACAACUCGAAAUAGAUAUAAGAAACAACUUUUCUUGUGUGAUGGCAAGGCUUAAACCACUUUCUUCGAGGAUGAACAUGAACAUUAUGUCAGUAAUUACAAACAUUUGAAGGUAGUAUAAUAAGAAUUUGAGGGAAUCAACAGUAGAAGUUACCGAGUUACAUCUCAAGUUUUUGCUUAUAGCAAUCUUCACAUGCCCUAUUCUAGAACACAGUAUAACUUUUUAAUGCACAUAACUGAAGACCCAGAUCAUAUAGAAUAGAUCAAAAGAAAGAAACUCAGCUCAUUUGCCAGCAGAAUAUAUUUAAUCAAGAUAUACCUUGAUCAACUUUUUACAGAACGUAUCAUGUACAAUAAAUAAUCAAAUACAUCUCUUUACAGUGGAGGAGCUGGUGUUGGCAGUUUCAAGCUCAAACCAAAAAUCAAGAGCCAUAUAAGCAGUCUUCUCCUUUAUGUCACAGAUAGUUCUAUUGUCAGCAGUUAAGCCAGUUAAUUCUUACCUAGAAGUUUAGCAAAAAUAAUUAACCCAGAAGUUUAGCAAAAGCUACGUAAUAGACAGAACGUUCGAAAAUAUAUGAGCUAAACAGAGUUUGCGAAUAAUAAAAGUAUUCCCAUGAAUGUUUUUGGUAGCCCCUUGGAAACAAUAUAUUUUAAGAAAUCCCGGGGUGGCAUUGUACUAUAAAUUUUCCUUUGUUUGGAAGUAACUGAUAUAUUUUUUUAGCUCGAGAAACAUAACCUAUCAAAUGAAAAGUAACGUUAAUGUUAAUGAGAGUAGAUUAAUUUAACCAUCUGAGUAUACUUAUACAUACCCACAAGACAUUAUGCGUGUAAACAAAUAUAAUUUAUACCAGAAAUCUUUCAGGAAAGGAAGAUAACAAUGUGGUUUUGCUGACCUUCUUCAAGGGAUAAUGAAAGAUUGAUAAUUGUAAGAGCACUUCUUUUUCAAGGUCAGCUAUCAACUUCUAGAGAUGAGCAUGCAUUACUUAAAUGAUGAAGGAGUUUCCAUUUUUUAUAUUCAACUCUUUUAUCUCUUAGUUGCCACAAAAUAAUUAUUUUUUCAUUCCUUUCUUUGAGGCCUCUAGCAUAACUCCAAAGUACAUUUGCUUCGGGCUAUUUCAAAUAGUCUAUAGUUUAGUUAUAUUAAUUUUAUAGGUUAGUAUAAUCUGAACCAUAUUUUAAAUUUAUCAUUUGGUUUAAAGAAAGUUAAAAAAAUAGUAAGAUACUCUAAUAGAAAGACAGAUGAGAACAACGACAUACAUUUGAGACAUAUUUCUUUGACACAAUAAUACAUGAUAGAGAUAUGUUAUUGAAUGAUGGUGUCUACCAGAAGUAAAUAACGUACCUUUUGAGUUAUUGAAUGAUGAAUCAGAAUGUUGUGGUAAACCUGUUGUAAAAGAAAUAGAAUAAAAUUUUGUUAGUAGGUUCACGCAUAUAUUCAAACAUCUUGGAUGUACCUAGUGCGACAGUACUAAAAGUUAUUUAUAUGAAUUUGAUGUGUACAAAAGUACAUAAGAAAGAAUGUAUAAAAGGAUAUACAAUGGGAACAACAAAUACCCCAGAAGAAAUUCCUACUACGUGUGUCUAUGCAUUAAUAAAAUUAAAGCUAUAAGCCUAUAACCACCAAAUAUAAUCUAUUUUCUCAGUCAAUUUGGAGAUAAUUUUCAGUAAUUUUAAAAAAUAAGUUAGGCCCAACAACUAAUUACACAUCAACCAUUGAACUUGAAUUAUAGUCGGAUCACCAUACUAAACAUGUCAGAGAGGGGAGAAACUAAAGAAAAUACAAUAUAUACAUGCUCUAGAAGAUAGUUGCAGCUGCUAAUCAUCACUACAUAGUGUUAGUUUUUUCAUGAAUUUAAUUUCGAUUCUAUACCUAAAAAUAAUAAUAGAGAAGCAAAGAGUAGCAUAAGCAACGAUGGAAGCGACCAAACACAAGCAGAACAUAGGAACUUCUGUGGUGUUAUUUCUCAAAAAGACUCAGUAAAAUAGUGAAGGCUCAAUAGGAAGAGGAAGAGCAACUGCAGGCAAAACAGUAGAAGCUGAAAGCUAGAUUUGUCUACGAAAGAGCAAAUGAAGAAGAGAAUGUGCGUACUACUGAGUAGCUUCUGAAAAUUCAAUAAAAACGAAGGAAUGAUCGAAAAUACCAUUAAGCCGCCAAUUGGCAGAGCUUUAAGUCAUACAGGAGAGGGUCAAAAUUCGCAAAGCAUAAGCAGAAUUUUUUUUUAAAAUCUCGAUAUUGACUUUGACAAUUAAACUUACAGUCAAUUCAUAGAAAUUACAAAGUAUAUACACAUAACAUCCCAUAUAAUCUUUUUAGCAGGAUAAAUUGACUUUGACAAUUAAACUUGCAGUCAAUUCACUGCAGUUUUUUCAGCAAUAUACUCCUCUUCCUUUAUCAUGCUACCAUCUUCUUGAAGAUGUUUUCAGUUGUUUUAUCUUCACCAUGCAUUAGUGCUGCAGCAAUACUCUACAAGCUAGUACCAUAUUUAUACUGAUUAUUCCUCCUAGUCAUGGUAAGCACUUCUUGAGCUUUACCAAACCCAUACAUCCUUACCUCCAUAUUACAAAGAGACACAUAUAGGAAACGACAAUGAAAUGCUUAAUUUAGACCAGUUCAUAUACCUAUAUAUCUUAUGCCUUCUAAAGUUUCCAAGAAAAAGAAUUGUUAUGAUUACAACUAUUGGUUGGGAUUGUUCUAUUCAAAACACUUCUCCUCCUUCUACAACCUUUUUCAAGAUAUUUUGAUUUGGCCCAUUAGGGUCCUUAAUAUUCAAGGAUUCAUCUUAGCUAGAAACUAAAUAAUUAUAAAAUCAAUAAACAAUGUCUUUCUUAAAUCCUAGUCUCAGUCUAUAUAGCUUUAAACUUUGUAACCGGCAGCUAUCCAGCUACAUCAGAUAACAAAAGUGCACAUUUCACAUUUUUUCCUAGCAAUUUCAACCAAGACAACACAUUCUCCAACUGAGUCUCUCCAUCUCUCAAAAAUACCUAAUAUUCUCUUUUUGAUGAGGGCACAUCGAGUACGCGAGCUUCAAAAAAGUUCUUCCUACAUAUGUCUAUGCAUUAAUAAAGUUAAAACUCUAAGCUUGUAACUACCAAUCGUUUUGGAGAUACCUUUACAGAAAUUUUACUGUUAGUUGUAAAGGACUACAAAUUGUAGUGCUAAUAAGAAGAUUUAUCAUAUUUCUAUAAAAAAUAAAAUUAAUUAAGAGGACAGAGGACGGGGACAAAUGAGAAAAGUAAAAAAAAAAAGUAGUUGAUUUAGGCAUAUUAUCAGACAUUACAGAUGGCAUGUGAAACUCCAACAAGAAAGGGAAAUCGCCUAAUACCCACCAAAAUAGCAUUAGCGGCAAUAUACAUUGUAGAAAAGAAGAAGCAAGAAUUAUAAAAAAAUUCACCACAACUGUAACACACAUACCAGAGACAACAUAGAAUUGAAAUUGAGUAAAUUUAGGCAUAUUGAAAAGAAAUCGUCAAGUAUAGAUCCCAAUGUACAAAAAGUUCAAGACAAUAAAAACUAUCAGAACUAUAAAGCACAUACAUAGAUAAUAUGAAAUUGAAAUUGAACAAUUUUGAAGUUUGAAAAGAGAUUUUCAACUACAUAUGUCACACCAAGCAAGAGGAAAUUUUAGAAUUUUGAAAAGUAAUUUUCAACUAUAGAUGACACACCAAGCAGAGGAGGAAAAAUUCAAAACUCACGACAAAGAGUAGCAGAAGCAACGAUGGAAGCAACCAAACACAAGCAGAACAUAAGAACUUGUAUGGUGUUGAUUGUCAAGAAGACUUCAUAAAAUAGUGAAGGUUCAAUAGGAAGAGGAAGAGCAAUUGCAGGCAAAACAGUAGAAGCCGAAAAUUGGAUUGGUCUACGGAAGAGCAAAUGAAGAAGAGAAUAUGAGCACUGAGUAGCUUCUGGAAAUUCGAUAAAAACGAAGGAACGUUCGAAAAUACCAUUAAUCUCCCAAUUAGCAGAGCUUUAAGUCAUAGAGGAGAGGUCAAAUUGGCAAAGCGUAAGAGGAAUUUUUUUGAAAUCCCUAUAUUACCCCUGUCCGUAUGCCCCAACUAUCCCAUGUUCGUGUACCCCAACUCUCACUUCUAAAUUAUAGUAAUAUUCUAUGUAAAUAAAAAAAAUCAUAAAAGAAAAUAAAGUCCUAUACUUUUGUGUAAUUGUUACUUAUUUGCUACCAAUUAACAAACUAACUGUAUUUAUUCUUUACAGUGCUAUCUAUACAUCUCACAUGCGUGGGAAUAAUUUUGGCAUCCAAUGCUUCACAACUGUGCCUCGCCUGAUCUGAAUGGUUGCGAUUAAAUCUAUCAAUUCCUUUAUCAAUGGUUGUGAUUGCUCUAUAUCUCAAGUCCUUUUGUGCAAAUAAAACUUUCUUAUUCCUUGUUAUAUCCGAAAAAUCUUUCUUUGUCGGAAAUCCCCUUUCCUUUGUCUGAAGCCCUAAAUUCCUUUUCUUGUUUUCACUUAAUCGUUCACGGGGCUUCUUCUCAUCUCCCCCCCCCCCCAAUGUUGGAGGGUAAAGAAGUGACCCUCAACUUGCUAUGAAUAGAAUUAUGUGAAGGUCCUGAGAGUGAUUUAGUGAAUAAAUCGGCAAGUUGGGAGGAGGAAAGAACAAAAGAGAGAGGAACGAGGCCGGAGAGAAACUGUUGCCGAACGAAAUAGCAGUCCAAUUCGACAUGUUUUCUCCUUCCAUGAAAAAAGGGGUUGCGGACAAUGUGAAUCGCCACUUUGCUAUCUGAAAAAAUAGGAAUUGGCAGUGAUGGUGAAAUUGACAGGUCGUCAAGAAGGCGAGUGAGCCAAGUGAUUUCGGCGACGACUUGACGCAUAGAUCUAUACUCCGCUUCUGCGGAUUAUAAAGAAACAGAUGCCUGCCUUUUGGAUUUCAAGAAAUUGGUGUUGCACCAAGGGUGAUAUAAAACCCACUGACGGAGCGGCGACUCUCCGGACAAGACGCCCAGUCGGCAUCGCAAAAAGUAAGCAGACGAAGAGAUGGGUAAGAGUUCAAAAGAAUUCCUUGGCCAGGAUCUGAUCUCAGAUAACGCAAUAUUCGAAGUGCUUUGAAAUGGGAGAAUUGUGGAUUUUGCAUGUAUUAACUAAGCUUCAGCACUGCAAAUAAUAAAUGUGGGCGUGUGUGUGAGAUAGUUCAGUUUCCCAACAAGAUGUCGAUACACAAUGGGGUCCUGAAGAGAGUCCCCUUCAUCUACAACUAGUUUGGAGGAUGGUUCAAGAGGAGAUGAGACACAAGGCUUAUCAAAAACGUUGAAUUCCUUCAAUAAAUCCAAGGUGAACUUUCCCUGCUAAACAAUUAUCCCCUGCUUUUCUCUAAGAACUUCCAUGCCUAGAAAAUAAUGUAAAUUUCCCAAAUCUUUUACCUUGAACUCAGUAUUAAGAAAGUUUUUGAGUGCUGUGAUUUCUUUUGGAUGAUUGCCACUAAUAAAAAUGUCGACUACAUAGACAACAAUAAUACAAACAAAAGUCCCUUGUUAUUUGAAAAACAAAGAAUAGUCAUUUAAGGACGAAAAAUACCCUUUGAAGCUUAGUACACCAGCAAGUCGGGCAUACCACUGCCGUGAAGCUUGCUUUAAACCAUAUAAUGAUUUUUUGAGGAGACACACAUGAUUAGGACUAGGAGAAGAUAAACCUGUCGGGAACUUCAUAAAAACCUCUUCUUGUAAAUCUCCGUCUAGGAAUACAUUACUGAUAUCUAAUUGAUAAAUAGGCCAAUUCUUCUUAGCUGUUACUACCAUUAGAUAUCGUAUGGUAGUCAUCUUGACCACAGGGGAAAAGGUCUCAAUAUAGUCGAUUCCUCUCUGUAUAUAUCCCCCACCACCACCAACCUUGCCUUUAAUCUUUCUACAGUUCUAUCGGAGUUGUGCUUUACCUUGUAUACCCAUUUACAAGGUAAAGUCUUCUAGCCGGGGUGAUAAAAUAGUCACUUCCCAAGUGUUAUAGACUUUCAAAGCCUUAAUCUUUGAAAACGUUGCUUGUUGCCACCCUGAAUGCAUAGAAGCUUGAGAGAAACUACUAGGUUCUGAAAUAGAUUGCAUGAUGUGCUGAUUGUGAUUAGAUAAAGCUCUAAAAUAAUAGACGUGGGGUUUACUAGGUUGAGAAAAACAGGAGGUAGUCAAAUCUGUGAGGUAAAUAUUGUUGCAAACAUAAUAUUUUGAUGAAUAGGCGACUUCCUAAGGACUAGAGUUGGAGUCUUACUUUGUCUAGGGGUAUCAGGAGAAUUAUAGAAGUGAUUUCUACUCUUGACCGCUUCAUUGUCACGAGAAAAUUUAUUGACCGCUUCUUUGUCACGAGAUCCUUCAUAAACUUUGAAUAAUCGGGCAGUUGUUCCAAAGCUUCAACUAAUGACAUCUUGAUUGAGACUCUUCAUCAUUUGAAUGAACUUCUUGAAUUGAUUCUCACCAUUUUCCUUGGCAAGUCUUUUAGGUCAUGGAGGUGGAGGCUUAGGCAAUGGUUCCUUAGCCUUUUGCACUAUCGACUCUGGUAUAUCAAUAAUGUGAUCCCUAGACGGGUUUACCUCCCCUUGAGUCGCUUCCACACUUUAAUCAAUAUCAAUCUGAACUUCCUCAUUAGGUUGCACCAUAUGUUUAGGACUUCCUCUUCUUGCACCACUUGAUCAUCAUCAACAAGUUGCCUUUGACUUGAGGUGGGUGCAUUUCCACCUCUUCCACUUCUUGUGGUCACGGCCAUGGCAUGACCCGUGUUGUUUCCACCAUUUGGAUUUACUACUGUGUCAAUUGGUAGUGCCCCCUCAAGACAAGAAUUUUGAGCUUGAGAGCCAUUUGAACUUCUAAGUUGCGGAUUGAUAUGUUGUAAGAGGCAAGUUGGUCAUCCGAAUCGACAUUAUUUUUUAUGUUAAUAAGUAGGGAUUUUGACUACUUAUUAGUGCCUUUUUAGCUUUUGUUUUAGUCUAUAAACAUUGAAUUGUGUUUUCAAAACUGAUGAAAUGUGUUAAAUUGCAGGAAUGUUGGAAGUUGGACUCCCAAGAUGAAAUUCGACUCAAAAAGGAGUAAUCUAAACUCAAGGUAAUAGCAGGCACAGAAGCUCACGAAGUGCAGAUCGAAGAAUUCCAUCUACGACCGCAGAUGAUGAAGAAAAGCCCAUCAGACUUUCUAGCAAAUUGAGGACCGCACAAGAAUUGUGCGGCCACAAAAGUUAGGAUAUGAACAAAGUUCAGAGAGUGUGCAAUUUCCCAAUUUCCAAGAAGUGCCUUGCGGCAGCAAAAGUAUAGGUGCGGACCGGAGAAGACCAAGUUGCGGCCUCAGUGAUAAAUCUGCAGACCGUAGAAAUGAUGCCUCGUGGCCGCAAUCAAGAAUUGUGCGGCCACAAAUCGUAGCUCCUACAAUAUGAAGAAUUCUGUGGACUACACAUGGAAUUAUGCGGCCGCAAAACCUCCCGAGGGGCAUUUUUGUUCGAAAUUGUCAGCAUAAUAUAAAUAGAAGAGUUUCACGAAAUUAGGUUAAGUUUUGAAUAUUAAAAGUAUUGUAGCCAUUUUUCUUUACUUCUUUAGGAAACUUUAGCUUAUUUUGAUGAUUCAACAUUGAAUUUCUAUCUUUUAAUAUUUCAAUAUGAGUUUUAUUAUCUUUUCUUCUUUAUUUUCUUCUAUACCCAUUAUGAGUAGCUAAAUUUUUACUAGGGUUAUGACACAAUCCUAUGUGUAAACCUUAUGGGUGAUUAAUUUUGUGCUUGUUUGUGAAUGGGUAUUUGUUAUUUAGCUAGGUUCAAGCUUCAAUUGUAGAAUUAGUAGUUUUAAACAUUGAUUCAUGCUUAUUUGACUUAGUCUCUUCUUGAGAAAGAGGGAUCUAGUCUAAGUUAACUUAUCUAACAAGGAAUUGGGUCAAUUGAGAGAUUGAUUAACCCAAAUAAAGGGUUCAACCUAGAGAUAGUAACAACCCGACUUGAGCUCUUAUCAACCGUUUUGUUAGAUACCCAUUUGGACUUGAGAAAGCCAAAUUGGGCAAAACUACUCUCUAACCAAGAGAUAUUGAGCGGGCAAUAUAGUGAUGUAAGCUAUAAUACACCACAGUCAAUAAAACAAUCAUAAAAGUAUUUAUCCCAUUAGGCAAACACCUAGGUCAUGGUCACAGCCCUGGGCCUUUUUAUAUCUUUGAAAAACUAUCAAAAACAAUCUACUCUAGUUUUAUACCUUUAGAUUUGCAAUUGUUAGCUUAAUUUUAAAAGUAGAAACAAAAACUUGUUUGUGGAAGUCCAAUCUAGAUACUUCACGUACUCAUUCUGAAUAUAUACUACUAACUCCCAUCUUAGUUCUCUAUGGAUUCAAUCUUGACUCCUUGUUGGGUUUCAUUAUUGCAAACAACCGUGCCAUACCUCUUUAGAGAUGUGCAUUUGGACGUGAUCAGCUUCUUUAGUGUCUCAUCAAUGGUCGGGGGAAACUGAGGUGCCUGAGAAGUAGAAUGCAUUGCAACAGUACUAGACAAGUCAGACAGCUUUGCAGUAGCUGUCUGCAUCAGUUGUUGAGACUCGCCAAUGUCUAGGAGACUCAAGCACAAAUAGGGGGCUAGUAGGCAUAGGCACUAGCCUAAGAGCUGAGGUGGGAGUUGUGGCAGGAGUUGUAGUAGGGGUUGUGGAUGAUGGUGGAGGCAUAGCUAUGACACUUGAGGAAGGCUCAGCCGAAGUGGAUGAAACAUCAACUGUCUCAGAAACUACCACGGCUGGCUCAUCAUACUCGCAUGUGGUGGUAGGAGGCUGAACUUUCCUCAUCGGGUUGUUCGCAUCCAUCUCUGAGUACCAAGUAAAAGGCUUCUUCAGCUUCAACAUUGUAUCACAAUCCCUCGGCUCUACCUUUGCAUCGGUGAGAUAUUUUGUAAUAGUGCUGGGAUACGAGUAGGACGAUUCAUCUUGCCGAACGAUCACUGAGAUGUUGGCUGACAUCACAGCACCCACAUUGAUAGGGUAUCCGACGAUGAUAGAAGCCACCAGAACUGCUCGAGGAAUCGGAGAUGAGUCUCAUUUUGGCUCGGGUCCAGUCUGUUGUAGACAAAGGUUUGCCACCCCUUCGCCUCAAAACUCAAAGUGCUCCGGUGGAUGGGAACCCCAACAACAAUCCAUGGUGGUGGUGGCCUUGGUGGUGCUAGAAUAUCAGCUAACCAAGGUCGGGUUUUGUCCCCCAGUGCACACUUCUCCAAAUACUCAUUCGGCUCAAUAUCAUCAAAUCCCAAGUAUGUGUUGAGCAUAUGCUGAUCAAACCUCACUUUGAGGUUACAUACUUUGGUCACCUUCCUCCCUUUUUUUAUAUGAGCAACAUUGGCAUAUAAUUCUCGAACAAUGUACUAUUUUUCAUCCAUUACACUAUGAGUGAACCAUAUCCACUGCUUGCAUGCCCUGAAUUGUGUCAAAAUGGUUAGGUUGUACCUCUCCAAAUCUGUCAAGAGAAACUGUCGCUCAAGAGUUAGCGACCUCACUGUCCACCACAUACGGAAGCUGGUGAAGGCGGCUAGGUUGACAAAGCGGUCCUCCCAAACCUUUUUCUUCUUUGAUCUUUCAAGGCUGGCAACUGUAGCAUCUCCCCCUCCGCCAUCACCGGGGAUAUCAUGAACUGGUGUAUCCUGUGCCUUAGGGACUGGUGUAGCUAAUGGCUUAGAAGCCUUACUAGCAUUAUUCGAUCCCUCGGAAGCACUAUUAGAUGAGGCCGGCUCGUCUCUGAUAUGGUAUAUCCCAUACGGCCUCAACUGUAUGGUCGGCUGCUCCUAAACAAAGGUUGAGUUGCCCUCUGACGCUUUCCUAGAUGGGACAUAUGAGCUUGUCCCAGAGAGGUCUGAACCUCUCCCUCUGCCGGUUGUUGCUUUCUUCCUUACUGUCUGUGGUUGGCCAAGGGUUAAAGGAUUUUUGCCUCGACCCCGAGAAGGUUCACCUUUCCCUUUUGAAGUGUUACCUUGUCUUCUAGAUCGAACCAUUGUCUGUAUCAAGCAAAGGUGAGUGUUAGUUACAAUUCAAUGUUCAAACAUACACAUGAGUCAUGAAAGUAAAGUAUAAACUAUAAUACAGUGAGUGUGUUCAGUUAGAUCAUACUUGCAGGGAAAGUGAUUUGCGGUCCGCACAAUUUCACUUGUGACUGCAGAUGAGGACUUGUGGACCGUAUAUUUUUGUUGUGCGGCUACAGAAGUGAAGUGCGGUCCACACAAUUUCACUUAUGGUCGCACCUCUAAAACCUAAAAAAUUAUAACUCUCUAAUGACAGAGAAUUGGUUAAUGUGCGGUCGUAACAGGAUUUCUGCGGUUCGCACAAUUAAACUUGCGGCCGCACAUUGGAGUCUCAAAGUAGGGACUCUCUGAUGAUAGUAACUAGGUUAUUUUGAGGUCGCGAUGGGAAUUUUGCGGUUCGAACAUUUUAACUUGCGGUGGCAGAUCCCUUCUUCACUAAGUUGCCCUAAGUUCAAUAUCUGCGGACCCACAAAUUCAAGUGCGGCCGCAGAUUUCAAAAACUACAUACAUAUCAAAUUUUUCUAUCUAGGGCUUUCAAUUUCGUGCAUAAUUUGACAUGGCUACAUCAUAGAAACAUGAAAUUACACUAACCCAAUCCCCAUAUAAUAUAUAUCUAGUUAACUCCUUUCAGAUUUACCCCACAUGGACACACAAUUGAACUCGAAUAACAAAUGGCUUAAAAAGAACAAAAAUCUACAAAUUAAACUAACUAAAAAGAUUAACGUGAACUUGAAGCAUACCAGAUAGAGUGUGUGAAAUGAAUUACUGAUCAAAGUGGUUGUGUGUGGACAAAUAAAAUCACCAAGCAAAUUUAACACAACACAAUUUUUAUGCUUAGAGAGUGAAAAACGUAAAAAUGAGCCAUGCUCCUCUAUUUAUACUACUUGUUUGCUAAGGGGAAAAAGAACGAGUGCGGUCCACACUCUGUUACCUAGAACCUCAUCUCAGCUUUUCAUAUGCGGUCUGCAUAAUUUCAUGUGCGACCGUAGAUCGACAUUCGCACUGAUAGGCUAAAACUUUAGAGAGUUGUAUUUUCAUCAUCUCGAUUGAGCGGUCCGCAAGCUAAAUAUGUGGCCGAAAUGCUCUUUUUCUAUAGCACUAAUAAUAUUGUGGUCCGCAUAAAUCAACAGCGGUCCACAUUUCUUAAAACACUUAGCCAUAUUUUCAUCCAAAAUUCCUGUAAGUCACACUUAGCCCUGUAGCACACUUCAAAUCGAGUUAGAACAAAAAUAACACCUAACUAUAAAAAAGAAAAAGGAAAAGAAACAUGGGUUUCCUCCAAAGAAGCUUCUGAUAUAACAUUGUGGAACGACGCAAAAUACCAUCAAGUGAAAUGAAUGACCGCCACGAUGUGGCUAUCUCUAACCUUUCCCAAAUAGUGUUUCACCCGUUGACCAUUGAUUCUGAAUACUUCAUUGUUUUUGUUCUUCAAGUCUAAUGCAUCAAAAGGUGUCACACCCAUAAUUUCAAAAGGACUACUCCAUUUAGACUUUAGCUUCCCGAGAAACAUCCUCAACCUUGAGUUAAACAACAAUACAAGAUCGCCCACCUUGAACUCUUUGUUCCAAAUGUAUUUAUCAUGAAGAUAUUUCAUCUUUUCUUUGUAAAAGGACGAACUUGCAUAAGUAUGGUAUCAGAACUCAUCUAAUUCAUUCAAGUGUGCAACCCUCAAGUUAGCGGCUAUAUCCUAAUCAAGAUUCAACCCCUUUAGAGCCCACAUGACCUUGUGCUCUAAAUCCACCAAAAGAUGACAAGCUUUUCCGAAUACCAACCGAUAUGGAGACAUCCCGAUAGGUGUUUUGUAAGUCGUCCUAUAAGCCCAUAAUGCAUCAUCAAGCUUCUUGGACCAAUCUGUCCGAUUAGCAUUCACCAUUUUGGACAAAAUACUCUUUAUAUCCUGGUUGGAGACUUUCACUUGCCCACUAGCUUGUGGGUGAUAGGGAGUCGUGACUUUGUGAGUAACACCAUACUUGCUAAGUAAAGUGUUGAAAUCCCUGUUGCAAAAAUGUGACCCCCAUUGCUUAUAAUUGCACGCGAAGUACCACACCUUGUGAAAAUUUCUUCUCUAAGAACGCCAGCACACUUCUCACCUCAUUGUUGGGUAAAGCAACAACCUUAACCCAUUUGGACACAUAAUCCAUUAUGACCAAGAUGUAGGUAUUUCCACAAGAACUCACAAAAAGACCCAUGAAGUCAAUACCCCAUAUUUAAAAAAUAUCAAUAUCCAAAAUGGUAGUGAGAGGUGUUUCAUUUUUCUUUGAGAUACCACUGGCCCGUUGAAAUUCAUCACAUAUUUUCAUUAACUCACUUGCAUCCUUGUAAAGGGUCGGCCAAUAAAAACCACAACUAAGCACUUUGGUUGCUAUUAUCGCUCCACCAUGAUGACCACCAUAUGGCGAAGAAUGACAAGCCCCAAGAAUUUUACCUUGCCCUUCUUCUGGUACACAUCUUCUAAUCACCCUCAUCCGUACAAAUCCGGAAGAGGUAUGGUUCAUUCCAAUAAUAAUCUUGACAAUCCCGUUUGAGCUUCUUCCUUUGGUUUGAAGAGAACUCAUCUGGGAUGAUUCCACAUACAAGGAAAUUUGCUAAAUUCGUGAACCAUGGCACCUCUUUCAUUGAAAUUGCCAAGAGUUGAUCAUCGGGGAAUGAGUCAUUAAUUUCAAGGCCAUCAUGCGACCUCCCCUCCUCCUCCAAACGAGACAAGUGGUCUGCCACUUGGUUUUCACUACCCUUUAUAUCUUGGAUAUCAAUAUUAAACUCUUGCAACAAGAGCACUCAUCUCAUCAACUGAGUUUUGGAGUCUUUCUUGCUCAUAAGAUAAUGAAGUGCCGCAUGGUCCGUGUAGACAAUGACUUUUGCACCCAUUAAGUACGGGCGAAACUUCUCAAUUGCAAACACAAUAACAAGGAGCUCUUUCUCCGUAACGGUAUAGUUGACUUGGGCACUAUUUAUGGUCUUACUAGCAUAGUAGACCGGAUGAAAAAAUCUUGUUGAUGGGUUGCCCCAAAAUAGCCCCAACCGCUACGUCACUUGCAUCACACAUGAGUUCAAAAGGUACACUCCAAUUUGGAGCAGUGGUGAUAGGAGUAGUUGUCAACUUGAACUUUAACAAUUCAAAAGCUCUCAUGUAAUCAUCAUUGAAGUUAAACAUAGAAUCCUUCUCAAGAAACGUGCACAACGGGUUCACCACCUUAGAGAAAUCUUUGAUGAAGCACCGGUAAAACCCUGCAUGGCCUAAGAAACGCCGCACACCCUUCACCAAAGUUGGAGGUGGAAGUUUACAAAUUACCUCAAUCUUUGUCUUGUCAACUUCAUUUUCAUUCUUUAUGAUCUUGUGGUCAAGGACAAUGCCUUCCUCGAUCAUGAAAUGACAUUUCUCCCAACUGAGCAACAAAUUUAUUUCUUCACAUCUAGCUAAUACUUUGUCCAAAGUAGCAAGAUAAUCAUCAAAAGAAUUUUCAACCACCGAGAAGUCAUCCAUGAAAACCUCAAGGUAUUCCUCUACCAUAUCCAUGAAAAUAGUCAUCAUACACCUUUGAAAAUUCACUGGUGCAUUGCAUAAACCAAAUGACAUCCGCUUGAAAACAAAAGUGCCAUAGGGACAUAUAAAGGUUAUUUCUCUUGAUCUUCUGGAGAAAUAAGAAUUUGGUUGUAGCCCGAAUACCCAUCAAGAAAGCAAUAAAAAGCACGGUUGGCCAGUCUAUCAAGCAUUUGAUCUAAAAAAGGAAGUGGAAAGUGAUCCUUCCUUAUGACUUUGUUGAGCUUGCGAUUGUCCAUACAAACCCUCUAACCGGUCACCAAUCUUGUAGGAAUCAACUCAUUCUUGUCAUUGGUGACCACUGUAAUGCCUCCUUCUUUGUGACACAUUGAACCGGAGAGGUCCAUGAACUAUCAGAGAUGGGGUAGACAACCUCUCCAACCACUUGAUAAUCUUCUUUUUGACAACUUCUUGCAUAGCCUCAUUGAACCUCCUUUGAUGUUCUAUAGAUGAUUCGGAACCAUCCUCCAAGUUGAUCUUAUGCAUGCAAAAGGCGGGGCUUAUCCCCCGAAUAUCCACCAAGGUCCACCCAAUAGCCUUCAUCCUCUUUUGUAGCAAAGCCAAUAUGCACGUUAGUCAAACAAGAUGAGAGAAUAACCGGUAAAGUAGAACAAGGACCAAUAAAUUCAUACCGAAGAUGUGGAGGAAAUGGCUUCAACUCCAAGGUAGGAGGCUCUUCAAUAGAAGGCUUUGUAGGAGGAGUUAUCCUAUUUUCAAGACCAAGGAUAAUUUUCGGGGUGCAUGGUUGCACGACCCCAUUCCAUGCAAAGAGUUCAGACAUUCCAUGAAGCCAUCCAUCUCAUCAUCAUCAAGUUGAGCAAGACGGCCUCCAACAUUGAGUGUAGCACUUGUUUCAUCAACAAUAACAUUGGUUACCAAGUACACAAAAGAGCACACCUCAUUGCUAUUUGGUUGCCGCAUGGAAUACCACUUUUUCAUCACUAACCCGGAAGGUAAGUUCUCCGGCUUCAACAUCACAAAGAGCCUUCCCCGUAGAAAGAAAAGGUCUCCCAAGAAUAAUCGACACCUCAUAAUCAACUCCACAAUCUAGAAUGACAAAAUUCGCUGGAAGAAUGAAUUUAUCAACAAAAACCAAAACAUCUUCAAUCAUUCCUAAGGGCAUCUUCAUAGUACGAUCGGCCAUUUGCAAUCUCAUAGAUGGGGGUCUUGGUUGCCCAAUUCCCAAAGUCUUGAAAACCGAAUAGGGCAUGAAAUUAAUACUUGCCCCAAGAUUACACAAAGCUUUAGCAAACUUGGCACUUCCAAUUGUACAAGGAAUCGUGAAAGCACCAGAAUCCUCCAACUUAGGAGCCAUUGAAUGCACAAUUGCACUCACUUGAUGAGUGACUUUGAUGGUUUCAAAAUUCAUUGACCGCUUCUUUGUCACGAGAUCCUUUAUAGACUUUGCAUAACCGGGCAUUUGUUCCAAAGCUUCAACUAAUAGCACAUUGAUUGAGAGAAUCUUCAUCAUUUGAAUGAACUUCUUGAAUUUAUUCUCACCAUUUUUCUUGGCAAGCCUUUGAGGUUAUGGAGGUGGAGUCUUAGGCAAUAAUGCCUUAGCCUUUUGCACUUCCGGCUCUGAUAUAUCAAUAAUGUGAUCCAUAGACGGGUUUACCUCCUUUUGAGUCUCUUCCACACUAUCAUCAAUAUCAAUCGGAACUUCCUCAUUAGGUUGCACCAUAUUGUUCGAGACCUCCUCUUCUUUCACCACUUGAUCAUCAUCAACAAGUUUCAUUUGACUUGAGGUGGGUGCAUUCCCACCUCUUCCACUUCUUGUGGUCACGACCAUGGCAUUCCCCGUGUUGUUUCCACCCUUUGGGUUUACUACAGUGUCACUUGGUAAUGCCCUCUUAGGACGAGAAUUUAGAGCUUGAGAGAUUUGCCCCAUUUGAACUUCUAAGUUGGGGAUUGAUAUGUUGUGUGAGGAAAGUUGGUCAUACGAAUCAGCAUUCUUUUCCAUCAUUUGCUUGAACACAUUUUCCAUAUGCCCCAUCUUAUUGUUUGAAGAACUUGGACCAUAGGAAGGAUAAAGAGGCGGGUUGCUCGGUUGUUGAUUCAUUGGGGGCCUUUAAAAACCCAACCCCUGGUUGCCUUGAUUGUUGUAUCAUACGCUUUGAUUGUCCCCCCCUCCUCUCCCCCCCCCCCCAUUUCCUUAAUUAUUUCCACUCCAAUUUCCUUGAUUGUUGUUGUUAUGCCAAUUCCCUUGAUUAUUGUUACCACUCUAAUUUCCUUGAUUGUUAGAAUUCCAAUUACCUUGAUUGUUUUGAGGUCGUCAUUGUUGUUGGUUUAGGCGUUGAAAGUUUGUUUCUUUUCCCUUGAAAAUUGUUCACAUAUUGCACUUCCUCCUCUUGUUCAUUAUAGGAAUUAUCUUGCUCAAAACCACUAUCGUCUUGCUCAUAGUUCUCCACUCGAUUUGCACUUGAGGACCUUUGGCCCUUCCCUUGUUUAGCAUCAUGUUCACCCAUUCCAUGGCAUUGACUUGCUUAGAAUUUUGCACUUGAUGAAGUUGAGCCUUUGCUAGUUGAUUCAUGGUAGUAGUCAAUUCGGCAAUGUUUUGCCCAUGGUCAUGUAAUUCUUUGUGAAGGUGGAUCAUAUUCGGUAUCACUUUGUGGAACAUUGGCCCGGGAUUUCCAAACCGGUGACGUUUCCGCAAUUUCAUCCAAAUUCUCACAUGCCUUCAUAGUCAUAAAGUUCCCACCGGCAAGUUGAUUCACUACACAUUGGUUGGUUGUGUUGAUCCCACAAUAGAAGGUUUGUUGAAUCAUGUUUUCCGUCAUAUUGUUGUUGGGACAUUCCUUAACCAUUGUUGUUCUAUAGCGCUCUUAUACCUCGUGUAGUGGUUCAUUUGACUUUUGCUUGAAUGCCAAAAUAUCAUCUCGAAGUGUAGCCAUGUGCCCGAGAGAGAAGAACUUAGCAAUAAAUUUUUCCGCCAACUCAUCCCAAGUGUGAAUGGAAUGGUUCGGUAAUUGUUCAAACCAAUCUAAAGCUUUCCCCCGUGUAGAGAACCAAAAAAAGCCUUAGCCUCAAUGCAUCCUCGCAGACAUUUGUUUGUUUGUUCCCCUAUCAAGUAUCCACAAACCCCUUCAAAUAAUUAUACGCAUUUUGAGUUGGAGCACCGGUGAAGAAACCCCGUUGCUCAAGCAAAAUGAGCAUCACAUUGGUGAUUUAGAAGUUGUACGCCCUAAUAUGGGGAGGGAAUAUUGCACUAGCAUAUCUUUCACUAGGUAACACCUAGUGUGGAGCCGCUCGUGAUGGAGGUGGGGGUGGAUCGGGUACAUUGUCAUGAGGCACCCGGUCUUUUCGAUUGGCUUGAGGUUUAAUUCUAAAAUUAAAGCAUGAACUAAGCUAAAUAACCAACACCCAAUCAUAAACAAGCAUUAAAUUAAAUAUCCACAAGGUUUACACACUAGGAUUGAGUCACAUCCCUAGUAAAAAUCUUGCUACUCAUAAUGAGAAUGGAAGAAAAUAAAGAAAGAAAAGCUAAUUAAACUCGUAAUCAAGGAUUAAAAUAGUAAAAGAUAAUGUAAAAAUACUAAAUUGGUUACAAACUUCCUAAAGUAGUAAAAGGUAACGGCUACAACAACUUUUUCUUCCAAACUUGACCUAUAUUUGUGAAACUUGUCUAUUUAUAGUGGGCCAAAAUUCAAUGACAAAAAUAUCCCUCGGGAGGUUCUGCGGCCGCACAAUUCAUGUGCGGUCCGCAGAUUUCUUCAGUUGGCAGGUGAGUAGAUUCUGUAGCCGCACAUUUCUGGAUUGCAGCUGCAAAGCAACUUUUGCGGCUGCACAAUUCUUGUGCGGUCCGCACUUCAGCAUGAUGUCAGGAUUUGGUCUUCUGCACACUCUCUGAACUUGGAAUUAUUUAUUAGUGCAGACCCUAUUUUGUGGCCGCACAUCUGUCAAAAUCAUGUUGGGGUCUUUAACUUGGGUUGCGGCCGCAGAUGGAAUUUUGCGGUCCAAAAUUUCUUCUACGGCCGAUGAAUUCCUUCUAGGGACCGCACUUCUUUGCUUCUGCGCCUUUUUUUCCUUAUGCUUUAGAACACUUCUUUUGAGUCGGAUUUCAUCAUGGGAGAUCAAACUUCCAAUAUUCCUGUAAUUUUCACAAUUUUAUCAGUUUCGAAAACACAAAUCAAUACUUUCGGACUAAAACAAAAGUAAAGAGUUGUCCCCACUAGUUAAUGAGUUAUCAGGAGGUGAGGAGAAAGGAAAUAUGGGAUCUGUGGAAAGGGCAUAUGUAGUAAAUGGAAACUUGGAUUCAUGGAAAUGAACAUCCCUAGAGACAAGAUUUUCUUGGUGUCCAAUUUUAGCAACUUGUAACCCUUUUGACCCAAAGGGUAGCCUAAAAACACACAUGCCUUUGCUCUGGGGUUAAACUUGCUUCUACCAUUAGAUAAAGUAGAAACAUAACAAAGACAACCAAAUUUUCUAAGAGAAUCAUAGGAAGGGGGUUGUCCAAAUAGCGUGAAAUAAAGGGUCUGACCCUUAAGUACUUUAGAAGGCAGCCUAUUAAUUAAAAAUAUAGCAGUCAACAGACACUCACCUCAGUAACAAAUAGGAUUUUGUAAUUGAAAGAGCAAUGCUCUUGCCAUUUCCAAAAGAUGUAUGUGUUUCCUCUCAACUAUGCCAUUUUGUUGAGGGGUUGCAACGCAAGAUGUUUGGUGAAUUAUUCCUUGAGAGGAAAGAAAAACAGCUUCUUGAGAUCCUUUCCCAAGCUCAAAAGCAUUAUCUGUCCUUAUUUUCUGUACUUUCACACAAAACUGUCUUUCAACCAUUGUUAGGAAAUUCUUUAGUACCCUAAAAGCAUUACUUUUGGUACUAAUUAGGAAGGUCCAAGUCUCUCUGCUAAAAUCAUCCACAAUGGUUAAAAAAUAUUUAAAUCUAUUAUAAGUAGGAACUUUGUGUAGACCCCAAAUAUCUAUAUGUAUUAACUAAAAUGCUCUUUUGGAUUUAAUUUGACUUAAAGGAAAAGGAUUAAAAGUUUGCCUAGCUUUGGGGCAUAUAUCACAGAAACAUUCAGAAUUGGAAGGAAAUGAAAUAAAACUGAGAUGCUUCAUUGAUGAAAAAAGCCAAAUGCCCCAAUCUAAUGUGUCAAAGGUUUACAUGAGAGAUUGCAUUUGAAAAAAAUAAAAAGGAACUGAAACAUGACUAAAAAUAUUUUGUUCUGAUGUUUGAACUACAUUUUCUUGAUUCAUAAACUUAGUACUAUCAGCAUUAGGCUCCAAUAGAUAUAAUCCUUCUCUAGCUUCACCAAAAACUUGAUGCCUCUUCAAUAAAGGGGUCUGCAACAGACAUUAACUAGAUGAGAAUGAGAUAAUGCAAUAUGAACAAAAUCUAUUUACUGAUAGUAAAUUGUAUAUGAAACUUGGGACAUGAAAAACAUUUUCCAGAACAAAAUUAGGUAAGAUAGAAAUCCUGCCUAUAUGAGUGACUAUGACUUUGAAAGAAUUAGGAAGAUUAAUAUUAUAGGAACUGGAAAAGGAGAUAAAGCAUUUGAGUCAAAGAAUAUUUGAUAAUUGUACCAGCUACAACAUUUGCAUUAAUCUCUGAACUAGAACUUCCCGAUUCUCCCACUUUGACAUGUUUGAUCCAUUGAACCAAGUGUGAAAACUGAUCUUUAGAAAAAUGUUGAUUCAGUAUUUGAUUGUAGUUGUUGUUGUUUGGAUCUUCUCCCUGGUCUCCACAUAAAAUUACAUUGCUCCUGAUUGUUCCCUGAUUUCCUUUCCCAUUAGUGAACUCGAAAUCCUCAAGAAAGCCUAUGAUCAUAUAACAAUCAGCCAAAGAGUGUCAUGUCUUCUUGCAAUAGGUGCAAGAUACAUUAGGGUUGAACUUUGUCUUCUUUCCUUUGAAAGUUGAGGUCCUUUAUGGUGAAAACCCAUGUUUUUUAAGGUUAUUCCCAUACUUUUGAGGUUGUUUAGCUAGUAAACCUUUGUGACUGCUUCCCAUUCCUUUGUGGAAAAUUCCCUUAAAAUGAAUUACCUUAUUCCCUACCAUGAAUGAUGAGGAAUCAGGAGAAAUGAGAGGAUUAGCAUAGACUUCUCUUUGAUUUUUAUCCUGGAGAACAAGGGAGUAGGCACAAUUUAUGUUGGGUAGAGGGUUCAUCAUGAGUAUAUUUCCUCUUGCUUGACCAUAAGCAUUAUUCAAUCCCGUAAGGAAUUGAAUUGAGUCUUUCAUCCUCUAGUGACUUCUCCAAUUUCUGCUUACCUACACAAACACAUAGGCAAUUGCAUUUUGGCAUCACAGUUGAGUGAGUCCCACGAUCUUUUGAGUUUUGUGGAGUAGCUUGCUAUGUCAUUUGUACCUUGUACUAAUCCAAAUUGUUCUUUCCUCAUGUGGUAUAAUUUUGCUCCAUUUGACUGACCAAACUUGUAUUCCAAGCUUGUCCAGAGGUCUUUUGCAGAUUUUGGACAGUGAGUUCAGCAGCCAGGAUUACCAUGUCAUUGCAUCUGCUCUAAGGUUGAUAAUCUUUUGAAGUGAGAGCAAGUGCAGGGCAUGAACCAUUGAUAAAUCUCAAUUUAUUUUUAGCUGAAAGGGCUAUCAGUACUGAUCUUCACCAGCCAUGAAAUCCUCUCCCAUCAAAAGCAGCAUUAACAAGUGUCAUUCCAGGAGCAUAAAAUGAAUGAGAAAAGUAAGGAUGAUUCUGAUCAAUGGUGACUGCAUUUCCAGGUGCAGAUUGAGUAGGGAGGUCUAAGUACUGUCAGACAUGAUGAAUGUGAUGGAAAAUUCUCACAAAAACGAUGAUGAAAAACUUUCUUCAAGGAUCGAGCCUCACUGCUCUGAUACCAUGUAAGAUUAUAAAGAAUUGAAAAGAGAAUCUGCAGAAUUAUAUAUAUAUAUAUAUAUAUAUACACACACACACACACACACACAACAUAUCCUCUAUAUAUUCUAUGUAAAUAAAAAAAAUCAUAAAAGAAAAUAAAGUCUUGUACAAUUGUCUAAUUGUUAUUUAUUUGCUACCAAUUAACAAACUAACUGUAUUUAUUCUUUAUAGUGCUAUCUACACGUCUCACAUGUGGAAAUAAUUUUGGCAUCCAAUGCUUCAUAGUUGUUCCUCGCAUGAUCUGAAUAGUUGAGAUUAAAUCUAUCACUUCUUUUAUCAAUGGUUGUGAUUGCUCUGUAUCUCAAAUCCUUAUGUGCAAAUAAAACUUUCUUAUUCCUUGUUAUAUCCGAAACAUCUUCCUUUGUCGGGAGCCCUAAAUUCCUUUUCUUGCUUUCAUUUAAUCGUUCAUGGGGCUUCUUCUCAUCAAUAACAUAGAUUCAAGAACAAGCUAUCAACGUCCUAUUAGAUUCGAAAAUAUGUUCACGAAAGUAAUACAAAUUCAAUACUAAACUAGCAUGCACUCAAAUUGACAUUACAACAUGAGGAAUUGAGUAAUACAUUGUUUAAUUUUUGAGAUAUUAUAGAAAUCAUAGUUCUCUGAAAAGAAUAUUAUAAUUUGUUAUAAAAUCUCUGAUUUAUAAUCACAAUCUAUUCUAAAGAAUAAGGUUUAUCGAAAUAGAUCUUCACCAACAUCCCCCCAAUACUUGUUGUUAAAGAUUAAUGAACAUCAUUCCAAGUCUAAUUACAAGAUCAAAAGCCACUCUGGAAAUGGCUCUCUACGUCUUUGACGUAAUUGUGCUUGAAAAACAAAAUUCAAUAUGAGGUGGCAACAAUACAAAAUUGCAACAUAGCUGAUUAUAACACUUGCAUCUCUCAAAUUAAUCCAACUGUUUAGUACAAAGAACGAACCAUGGCUUGAGAAAUCGCUUCAUAAAAAUAAUAUGCUUUUCAAUCAUAAAUAUUUGCGAGGAAACAAAUUCUUAAUACAUAGAUUUCAAUGCAAUCCUGACCUUUUGCAACACAAUUUCAAUGGAACAAUACCAAGCAAUCAAUCACUCUUUCCCUCUUGGGCACCAAUUUCUUGCAAGUAAUGUUCGGCAUCUAAAGCUGCCAUGCACCCUACAAGCAUGCCCCAAAACAGGAACCAAAAAACAUUAGGCCGUGUGUUAUUUCGAGAGAAACGUGCUUCGUCCAGACACAAUUGUUACACUUGAAGAACAUAAUGGCAAAAUCAUGAAGUAAAACAAAAGCAAUUAAAAUAAACAUAUUGAUGCAAUUAUCACUAGCUUCCCCAAAGGCAUAACCAUUUCAGAUAAACAUUGUGUACAACUUUUACAUGAUAAGUAAAUUUCCUACCAUUUUUUUCACAUUAGUAUAACUCAGAGAUCUAGGGUCUUGUAUGGGUAGAAAUUCCAACAAUAGAAUUCGUGAACAUCUCGAGUAUCAAAAUGUUAAGGUGUUAAUAUCAGUAUCCAACCAAGCUUAGCAUAUAGAGAUAUUCUUGAUUAAAGUUGCAACAAAUGUUUAGAAAAGAAAAGGCAAGAGGCAUCAUACAAAGUUUCUAAGCACCAACUGCAAAGGUACCAGCAUUGCAUAGAGCACCCAACAGAAAUCAAAUUGUUUCACAAGGUACUCUUUAUGUUUGCGGAAGCUACUAACCGCACCCAACAGAUACCAUAUUUCUUUCACAAGGUCAUUCCUCUAAAAUGUUUCUUUCUCAGAUUAAUUUAUCAGGAAAAAUGUUUCCUUCUCAAGGAUGCUCCAAAUAUAAAAAUGAAUCAACAUUACUAUUGCACAAGCAUAACGUAAAAUUCAAUGCCAAAUGUAAGGAUCCUAAAAAUUCCAUCUCAAAAAAAAAAAUGUAAGGAUCCUAAAAAAGCAAACCUAGUUCAAUAACAUGUCCUAAACUUAGUAGGAUCCCUUAGACACAUUUCUGUAAAUUACGGAAACUAGCAGAAGUACAGAGCUUAAUAAAAAAAAAAAAGCUCCAGCAAACAAGUCCUAGAACAUAUACCGCAACCUUUAUCCAUUUGACAAUUAUAUAUCUUCCAAGGAAAUCAGAAUACCUCACAACAGUACUAGAAACAAUAUGGACGAGUUGCUACAAAUUUUUCUUUAAACAAAAAUCCCUUUUCUGCAAACACUAUGAUCUAACCCAGCAUUUACAUAGCCACAAACUAGUAAUAAAUCUUACAAUUGCAUAAUCUUAAACCACGUGAAAAAUCAAUAUUGAAAAGAAUCACAUGCACAAUUUCUCAAAGCUUGAGUAUUUAAUUUUUUUUCAUUGAGUCACUUUUUUUUUUAAUCAGAGAAGCUAAAUAGUCAACUGGUUUCAGUAGAGCAAACUGGUUUAACUAUUCGGUAUUUGCUAUGAAAUCGUUCUGUCAGAGAUAAAUCGGUAGGACCUAAAUCCCACCUUAGAAUGGUAAAACAGUUUUCAAAAGACCAUACUUUUGGAAUAAAAUAUCCCGAUUUUUUCAUCACCAAAAAGGCCCGUUAUUAUGUAAAUGGAUUAACCAAAGCUCAGAUUGAUGCUUGUAUUUCUUUGAUAUGAAGGCAUCAGAAGAUCCUAGAAUCACGAUUUCUAUGAUUAUAGUGAAACAUGAGGCUAUUAAUUCUCUUACUGAGUUCGAAAACAUUUUUACAAUCCCUAAAAGAUGGUUUAUGUUGAACCUUUCUUUCUAAAAAA
rnacentral:lncRNA from 1 species